CUGCACCUCCAUCCAGCAGAGCGUCUUCAUCUAUGGUGGGCAAACGAUGUUGGGGUUUCUUAUGCUGUUGUUCCUGUUGCUUUGCUUUGUUCUUGUU